rnacentral:rRNA from 1 species
CCUACGGGAGGCAGCAGUGAGGAAUAUUGGUCAAUGGCCGGAAGGCUGAACCAGCCAAGUCGCGUGAGGGACGACUGCCCUAUGGGUUGUAAACUUCUUUUAUUGAGGACGAAACAAAUGACGGUACUCAAUGAAUAAGCCACGGCUAACUACGUGCCAGCAGCCGCGGUAAUACGUAGGUGGCAAGCGUUAUCCGGAUUUACUGGGUGUAAAGGGCGUGUAGGCGGGACUGCAAGUCAGAUGUGAAAACCAUGGGCUCAACCCAUGGCCUGCAUUUGAAACUGUAGUUCUUGAGUGAUGGAGAGGCAGGCGGAAUUCCGUGUGUAGCGGUGAAAUGCGUAGAUAUACGGAGGAACACCAGUGGCGAAGGCGGCCUGCUGGACAUUAACUGACGCUGAGGCGCGAAAGCGUGGGGAGCAAACAGGAUUAGAUACCCCUGUAGUC